GAAACAUCUAGAGAUCUUCAAGUGAUUGUUGAAGAUCAUCCAGUGGCUCUGAUCGUUUUGGGAAGUCUUGCUGUAAUUCUUAUUGUUCUGGUCAUCAUCGCAUAUUACGUUUACAAGAAGAAGAAUCAGCUCAAAUGCACAAAUGUGGAAAAUGCCUCGUCAGGCCCUCAGACAAACAGGAAUGAGAGGAAGGAGCAGGAGCUUCAUUACGGAGAAGUGACGUUCACCGACAGAAAGGUUCAACAGCAGCCGUGUAAAACACAGGAGGAGUGUUUGUACGCUCAGGUGCAGACGCGCUAGUGUGAACACCACCACAAAACCACUUCACUGUCAUGAAGACUCAACACGACAGCUUUUGGCUGCUUAUGAUGAAAUGCUCGGCUUAUUGCACAUUUUCUUUCCUGUGUGGCAACAGAAAAACACAGCGUCUGAUCCAGAACAGAAAUAUAAAAGGAUGAACACUUUCCAAUAAAGCCGCUGAAGGAAAUCAUGACUGCUGUGAACAAUGAAUGACUUGUACUACAUAAGUCAUUGUUUUUUAUAUAAAAUAUCUUUCUGUGACACACGGUACUAUGCAAUAAAAAUACACUGCAUGUACAUGCUGCCUUUUCCUCCACUUUGUCGCCA
rnacentral:lncRNA from 1 species